rnacentral:lncRNA from 1 species
UUUUUUUGUUUUGAAUGUAGUUUGGUAAGUGACUUAGUUGGUUGAAAAUGGUUAAGUUUAGGGACUUUGAAGGGGAUUUUGUGUUCUGAAUGUGGUUAUGGUAGGUGACUUAGUUUAUUGAAGAUGGUUAAGUUUAGGGACUUUAAAAGGGAUUUUUUUGUUUUGAAUGUAGUUUGGUAAGUGACUUAGUUGGUUGAAAAUGGUUAAGUUUGGAUUUUUUUUUGUUUUGAAUGUAGUUUGGUGAGUGACUUAGUUGGUUGAAAAUGGUUAAGUUUAGGGACUUUAAAAGGGAUUUUGUGUUUUGAAUGUGGUUAUGGUAGGUGACUUAGUUGGUUGAAAAUUUUUUGAUCUAAUUCAUUGAAUCUUAUUAAUUGCGUAGAUGGAACCUGAUUAUAGUUUGAUAUUUCACCGAAACAAUGAAAAUAGAAUGGGUAUUAGGCAGAAAUUUGUUGAACGUGUCAAAAGAUUUGUUGAACAUGCUUAAACACUUGAUGUUUGGACAUGUUUUUGGGUUAUUCGGUGUCCUUGUGUUAGAUGUGAUGGUAUAAAUCUUCUAAGUGAAGAAGAAGUUAAGGAAAAUCUUUAUAGAAAGGGGUUCAUGAGGACUUUUUAAGAUUGUGUUUUAUUCAUGGCAUUGUUGCACAAAAUAACUUUGUUGUUGGAGAAAGUAGUAGGUCUUCAGGGCAUAAUGAAUAUCAAGAUACUAGGAUGACAGAAAUGGUGCAUGAUUCAUUUGGGAUGCAACACAAGGUUGACUUUAGGGAAAAUGUUGAAGAUAUUCCUAAUAAGAAGCAGCCAAUUUCCACAAAGAAUUACAUGAUGCUAGUCAUCCUUUUUUGACGGGUGUUCGCACUCUCAUUUGUCUGUUUCUGUUAGAUUAUUAAGUAUUAAAUCUAACUAAAAUAUUGCGGAAGGAGAAAUGGACUCAAUUAUAUACUUUAUUAAAGAGUUAAUUGAUCCCGUCUUGGAGGUUCCUGAUUUUUUCUAUAAGGAAAAAAGAUUAGUGUCAAAGUUAGGUCUCUCCUCGGUUAGAAUUAAUUAUUGUGAAAAUGUUUGUAUGUUAUACUCUAAGAGAGAUACUAACCUAAAGUUUUGUAAGUUUUGUCAGCACCCUAUAUAUAAGCGUGAUUCUACUGGGAAGCAACUUGGUAUUAAGGAAAUGCAUUAUUUACCUCUUAUACCAAGGUUGAAGAGGUUGUAUGCUUCCAACAGCUCAUCUCCUAAUAUGAGAUGGAAUAGUGAAAAUAGAAGGCCCCCUGGUAUUAUGUAUCAUCCAUCUGGUGGAGAGGCUUGGAAGCGUUUUAAUGCAACAUAUCCAGAUUUUACAACUGAGCCACGAACCAUUCGAUUGGUAUUAUGUGCAGAUGGGUUCUCUCCUUUUUCAGUUGGUGGUGCGCCAUAUUAAUGUUGGCCUAUAUUUAUCACUCCUUAUAAUCUUCCUCCUAAAAUGUUUAUGACUAGUCCCUAUAUAUUUCUGAAUUGUGUUAUUCCUGGUCUGCGUAAUCCAAAAAGAGGAAUAGAUGUGUACUUGCAACCUUUGAUAGAUGAACUUCAGAUUUUAUGGCAUAGGGGGUUGAAACUUGGGACAUCUCUCUUAAACAGAAUUUCAAUCUGCGUGCAUAUCUAAUGUGGACAGUUAAUAAUUUUUCUACUUAUGGAAUGUUGUGGAGGUGGAUGACCGCUGGAAAGUUGGCUUGUCCAUACUGUAUGGAAAAAAAAACUUUCACAUUAAGACAUGACAGGAAAAAUUCAUGGUUUGAUUGUCAUCAUUGUUUCUUGCCACCUGAUCAUGAAUUUAGGAGACUUAAGAAUGCCUUUAGAAGGAAUAGAAGGGAACAUGAUGGUCCACCUCCAAUGUUGUCUGGUUAUGACGUCUGAUAAAUAGUUCAGGAUUAGCCUAAAGCCAGCGAGGAACGAUUGUACAGGCUUGAUAUAUGGCGUUUCGUAUAACUGGAUUAAGUAAAGUAUAUUUUGGGAGUUAGAAUAUUGGCCAGAUAAUUUACUUAGAAAUAAUGUUGAUGUCAUGCAUACUAAGAAGAACUACUUUGACAACUUGUUCAACAUAGUUAUGGAUGUCACCGACAAAACAAAGGAUAAUCCUAAGGCCAGACUUGACUUACGAGAAUAUUGCAACCGCAGAGAAUUACACUUACAGCAGUGGCUCAACGGCAAUGUUCUUAAGCCCAAGGUUAGUUUUACAUUCAAGUUGGACCAAAAGUGGCAAAUAUGUGAGUGGGUUCAAAGUUUGAAGAUAGCCGAUGGUUAUGCCUCAAAUUUGGGAAAGAAGGUUGAUAUGACACAAGAAAUCUUGCAUGGAAUGAAAAGCCAUGAUUGUCAUAUUCUCAUGGAACAGUUACUUCCAAUUACUUUUAUUGGUUUACCUGAAAACAUAUGGAAACCAAUAGCAGAGAUCAAUUUGUUCUUCAAAGACUUAAGUGCGACCCCAUUAAAAGAAGAAAAUCUGGUGUGAAUAGAAAGUAAUAUUGUUGCUAUCACCAACAAUCUAGAGAAGAUUUUACCGCCAGCGUUCUUCGAUGUGAUGGAACAUCUUCCCAUUCACCUUAUGCAUGAAACUCGGCUAGGCGGUCCAGUUCAAAUUAGGUGGAUGUAUCUAUUAGAACGGUAAGCAUUUGCAACAUAUUUAAAUGCAUACUUAUUUUUUUAAAAUAUAGUAAACAUCUAAGCUUGAAAUUAUUGUAUAGGGUAAUUGAAAAAUUGAAAAGAGGUCCCAAAAAUAAACACAGGGCGGCUCUAUAGUUGAGGCAUAUGUUGAGAGAGAAACUUCUCAAUUUUAUUCAUACUACUUUCGUGAUGAAGUUGUUUGUUCAAGAAACAGCCGGAAUAGUCAUCAGGAUGAUGUGAAUGAGCCUCAUUUGUAAAGGAUAUCAAUUUUCAAUCAAUCUAGUUAUAAGGCUAAAAAAAUUAUACCUCGCUGGCUCAAUGCCAUGGAGCACAAAUCAACAACCUUGUAUGUCUUGCUGAAUUACCCGGAAAUUAAGCCCUUUCUGAAGUAAGAAGAUUCAAAUUUUAACAUAUCUUGUUUGUUUACUCAUUCCCUUAAAGAAACUAAUUGUGUUUCCCAUGUUAGAUGUUCAGUUCAUUUAAGACUCAAUUCCACGAAAAUUAAGUGUAUGCAUCCUUUGCAACAUGGUUUAAAAAUGAGGUUCGUCAGUGCAUUAAUGUUUCUACAAAGUUUAAACAUUUAAACAUUCCUCAACUAAAAUAUAUAUAUAUAUAAUAUUUUUAGUUACACCAUUCACUAAAUGCAGCUGCAUACAAAGUUUAUCCUAUCCUAACCCCCUUUACACCUCACCCUAACAACCUACCCUACCCCACACAGUACCAUGCCUCAUCCCUACCUCUCAUAUUUUAUUCCAUUUGGUUAAUAAAUUGAAAAAGGACAAAAAAAAAGGGCCCACGAGGAAUCUCUAUUUUUACAAACCACAAUACAUAUAUACACAUUUACCAACAUCAUCACGAGGAGAGGCAUAUACGUAUAAAUUUUAUUUUUCAAUUAAUUAGCAAAAAGUAGUCCCCCACGAUUUGGCUUGAUUUUUCCAUAAGACACCAUAUAUACAUAUACUCGCACAGAAGACCAUCAGGAUAGAUCAUCUAUUUUUUCUUUUUCUCUUCUUGGAUCGAUAAUAUAAAAAAAAACAGGCACCAACUCACAAUUCCACUCUCAAGCACAGCCACAUACACGCACACCCAUACCCAAAUCACACACAAAUAGUGAAAAACAGUAAAACACGAGGUCAAUCGAAGGGGGAAUAGUAAGAUCGAGAGAGUGAGGAUCACAAGUAGAGAGAGAGAAUAAUGGGAAGAAAGAGUGAUGAAAUCAGGUAGAGAGGGUGAAAAUCAAGAGAAAGGGUGAGGGUUUUAGGUCUUUGGUCACAGUUCUUGUGACUUGGCUCGCCAAAUUAGUUUUCCAUCCAUCGUUCGACCGUUUCUCUUUAGAUUUUCGAUGAAAUCUCACCGAAAUCAGCGUUAUCGAUAUCCAGUCAUCCAUUCAACAAGCCAAGUCCAAAUCCCUAAAUUAUCUCCAUUUUCUUUGAUUUCUAGGUAGAUUCAGCUGGAAAACAUGAACUAGCGACGGAAAUUCAUUGAAAUCCAUUUUGUUUUUUAAUCACUUUCAAGAUAUCAUCGCAUGCGAGUUUGUGUUCUGUUGUGAUUUCAUUCUUAGUUCAUCGGUCUUCAUGUGGAUUUUGGGGAUUUAGGUUCCGUUUGUCUCGAUUGAUUCGUUAUAAGCAGUUUGGGGUUUCAAUUUCUCGCUAUCAAGUUGGAUUCUGCUGCUGUUGAGGUUCUAUUCGAAAUUCUAUAGUCUAUCCUUUCUUAACUUUAUUAUCAAUGAAAUCUUUCUUUAAAGGUCCAUCUCUUAACUCUACUUUUUAAUUAUAUCGAAGUUGGUUCAUAUCAUGAUUUUAUAGUGUCGUUUUGAAUAUUUAAAGAAAAUGUUUAUUGUUGUCGUGAAAAUGAAUGAUUGGUAUGCUUAAAUGUUUGAAUCUUCAUUUCGAGUAUGUGUUUGAUGUUGGUUCAGAUUUUGAAAAGUGAUUUGAUAGUCGUAUUGGUUUAAUCAUGUGAGAUUUGGAGGGCGAAAAUUAAAACAUUGAUAAAAGUGAAUAUUAGUUCAUGUUGAUUUAUUGAUAUUCCUUGAUUCGCUAUAAGUAUCGACUUUUUUUAAAUUCAAUAGUCUCAUGGAUUAUGUCGAUAAUUGUUAGGCAACUGAUAGGGGGAGGUACAUUUAGGAAUGUCGAAUUGGUGAAUACCUAAAUGUGUGUAGAAUGGUUCUGUUUUUUUAUAUUUGAAUCAAUUGUACUAUUUGGUCGGGGAAUUCCCCGAAGUAUCUAUAUAUAUUUAUUCACCGGGGAAUGCCUCGAGGUAUCUAGUACCCGAAAGACGUUUGUGAUGAAGGCCCGAGGCGUCGGGGAGAAUGUUAGUCUAGGAUUAGUUUAGAAUAGGAUUUGUUUUUAUGCAUUUUCCUAUUUUGGACUGUAUAAUUGGACUGAACAUUAUUAUUUUGGUUUUGGAUUAUUGUUUGAUGUUUGUUUUAUGUGUUUUAUGUGGUUUAUACAUUCAUAGUAUCAAAUUAGCUGAUAUUCUCCACCAAACGACCGUGGUCGAACCAUAGGAUCGAGGGGUUCCUAACACCUUCCCUCGGUCAAUAGAAUUCCUUAGUCAGAAUCUCUGUUUGCGGAUCAGUUUAAAGAGUCAACAGUUUUGAAAAAGGAUUUCCAAAGGUGACUUGGCACACCUGAUUAUGCCAAGUGGCGACUCGAAUUUUAAAUGUCAAUAAUAAUUUUUGAAACAAAAAUUUUCACCUUUUGUCACAUAACAAUAAAAAUCCUUUCGAACCUUAAAACGAUUCUUUUUGGUUAAAAAAGGGGUGUGACAGCUCUGGCGACUCCGCUGGGGAUUUUUAAAAAUUCGAGCUAAUUUUUGGAGUUGUAUUGAUUUUGUUUGACAUCAUAGGUGUAUAGACAUUAUUCGUAUUAUUUUGUGUUAUUGUUUCUCAUUGUUGAGUGCCUACGUGCUCUUUGUUUACAGUUUUAUCUUAUGUGUUACCGCUUUAUAUCUGGCAUCAUGUGCAUAACCCGAGUCAUAACCCUAGUCAUUCUUUCUCAACAAGUCCAUAGUACACAUGUUGUACACAAUCUCUAGUUGAGUCAUCCUUAUUUUAGGAGAGGGAGCCGUUGGUGUUAUGGAGUGGGUGGAAAGCUCUCGCAGCCAUUAUCGACCAUGCGCUUCCCCGAAUAGCCUUGUUAGUGGACCCUAGCGUAGGUCAACCUUUAGUUCAUACUUAUUUGCAUCAUACCUAGCGGGAUCUACGUGGCCCUUUGUAGGAGACUCGCCUCUAAAGCAUCCCUACGUGCUAAAUAUUGCAUCUCUGAGGGUAACAUGGUCAUUGGGUAGUGCGUUAGAAGUAAAGUGUGUAGACAAGAAAGUGUUGCAAAACAAAAAGAGAGAAAAAGAAAAAGUGAUGUCAAAAAAGAGUGUUUCGUAGUUUCUUUUUUGGAGUUCUUUAUGGCUUUCGUUUUUCACAAUUCAAAAAUUCAAAAAGAUUUUUUUACCUCUUGCACUCAUUUCUCAAAAAAGAAAAAAAAAUCAAACAUAUCAAAAAGAUUUUCUUUUUAUUCCUUUACCAUGCAUUCAUAAUUCAAAAAUUUUAAAAAUAUUUUUUUAGGAGUUUUUAUAAAAGAAAAUUAAAAAAUGAUAGAUGUUUUGUACAUCUCAUAUAACGAAAAUACCAAAAAUAUUUUUAUUUCAUAGUUGUUGGUUUCAUUUUUAUGUGAAGUGUCAAAUUGAAAACUCAAAAAAAAAAAUUAUUCUUCGGACUUUGGUCGUGUCUCUUAAGUUAGGUCAAUCUGUUAGUUAAUCUUUAAUUGUCCAAUCUGGAUGAACUAUGCACCCCUGAUUCUCCCCUUUCGGGAGUGAGAUAUGUAGGAAGCCUAUUGUUGGUUUAGGGAUCUUACUUAAAAAAUUAAAAACAAAGAUUUUCUUCUCCUCAUUUAGAGUAGGUGUUUCAUUUAGGCCUUGACAAGAAAAAUACAAAAAGAUUUUCCUUAAUAAGCGUAGGUUUUAUUUUUGGUGGAUCUUAUUUGACAAAUCCAAAAAGAUUUUCCUUUAAUAGGUUUAAAUUUCAUUUAUAUGAAACUCCAAAUUGAAAGCCCAAAAAGAUUUUCUUUGGUAAUUAUAGAUUUCAUUUUGUAUAAGGAUUUAAACUUGAAAAAUACAAAAAGAUUUUUGUCAAUUCUUUUUAUAAUUUGUUAUUUUCUUUUCUCUUUGAAGUUUCAAGAAAGAGAAUGGAAAAAGAGUUGAAUUGGCCAUUUUGGCAAGACUUCACAAACUACGCACACCUGAUUCUCCUCUCUCGAGAGUGAGAUACGUAGACGCCCUUCUUGGGUUCGGUGAUCUUUUGAAAAAAAAGAAAAAGAAGGAAAAAGAGGUUUUGAAAAAGAGUUGAACUCUAACACAUCUGUUGUUUUCUUUGUUGAGUCAGUUUAAGGUGGUUGGUUUGUGGCAUUCUAGCUAGUCCUUCACAUCACACCAAAUCCAAAGGGUUAGUUGUGUCCAACAAAGAUAUAGAGAGUGACAUCAUGGAUAAAAUAAAGAAUCAAGAAAAAGAGAGUUUGAAGCAAGAUAUUAGGAGGCUAAUACAACAAAUGACAUAAAUGCAUCGAGCUUGGGGCAGUGGGUUUCCUCCUCCUCUAUUUCCCUUUAUUGAUCCUACAAACACCUCGAGUUUUCCACCUAAAUCUCAAAGUCAGUUUUCUACUGUUGUUGAUGCACCGCAACAUGACUCGAAAUUUAUUCUGAGCCAAAAGCAUCUCAAUACUUCCACCUCUUUUCCUCUAGCUCCUCAGCAUAAGCCUGCUACAUUUACAACAUCACAUGUCGUCUGUGAUCCUAUUGCUCAAUCCUCUACUGGGACUUCUACACUGGCUUGUCCAACGGUUGUGCGUCCCCAUGCUACUAGUGAACCUAUAUUCAAUACUCUUAGUGAUCAUUGUUAUACUCUUGAACCUGCUUUUAAGUUAACUGGACCACCAAAAUUUUUAACAAGAAGUCAAGUAUGCCAGAAGAGUCAAAUAAAAUGGUUGGAAAAAUGAAGAGUGCAGAGAAUACUAUGAAAAAUUCUCUAGGUCCUGCGGGUAAAGAAGAUAUUUCAUACAAAGACUGGAGCAUGCCUCCAAGUGCUAACCUUCCUCCAAUCUUUGAGAUGUUGAAAUUUGAGUAGCAAGAUGGGCAUGAGGAAUUCAUGAAACAUUUGGGACAAUAUUGCAAUCAAUUAAGGGAACCUGGAGAAAAGAAGAAUGAGAAAGAUGACAUGCUAGUGUAGUUGGAUAACGGGCACUUCCAAGAAGAUGACAUUGUCAUUGCCAUCGAUCUCAAGCCCAUGUUCAUACCCAAGCUCUCCAUAAUCACUCCCAAAAUCCAUUAUACUCUAUUUCCCCACCUCCAUAUCUAGUAUAUUGCGCACAACCAAAUGUUUAACUCCUUCCUUACCCACAAUGGCGCGUACCAACUCCUCAAAGUCAUCCUCUAAUUCCAAAAACAUAUCAAAGACCUUAUAGGACGGAUGUUUGAUCCAAGUUAAAUAAUUAAAUGAGGCAAAAAUUAAGGGAUAAUUUUACACUAAUUGGAGAGUCGUAUGCCAGUUUAUUUCAGAGAUUGGCACAACAAAGCAUGAUCACUCCUCUACUUGGGUAUACUCCUGACCCACAUUAAAGAAAUUUUGAUAGUAAUGUACGAUGUGCAUAUCAUUCUGAUGUUCAGGGUCACAAUAUUGAAGAUUGUCGUGCUUUGAAAAGAGAAAUUGAAAAUAUGAUUCAAGACAAAUUGAUUAUGGUGCAGAACAUUGAUAGUGAGGAACACUCUAGUCAUGCUGAUAUGCAAACUAGUGGCUAAGAUAUUAGGCUGAGCUAUUGAGAAGUCACCCCUCCCCCUACUAGGAAGAGGUAUGGUAGUUUGUUUUGUUUUAUUUUUGUUAUCUGAAUUAUUUAAGGUUUGUAGUUCGAGAUCUAUCUUGUUUUGUCCAUUUGUCGUUAUGUUCAAACCCUUCUAUGUUUUUUUAAUUGCAUACUUCUAUCUUUAUGAAGUAUCCCUUUUUCCUUUGUAUUUUAAAUAUAUGUUGUUUGUUUAUUUUCUUUAUACAGUAUAUUUUAGGUUAAUUCUAGUGUUAUGACAUGCUAGCAGAAUUUUCAGCCAAAUCUUAAAAUCUAAUUUAAUCAUGAACGUUGAAUCAGAGGGUUAAAGUUAGAAAAAGAAAGCAUCUCAGUAAAUAGGUAGAGUGUUGAGACAUUUGAUGACAAGUUCAAGCCUUCUUUGAAAAUUAAGGCAAUUAUUUUGAGAAUCACAAGAAUAACUUGGUCAUCAAUUUAAAAACAUAGCUCAAUUAGGUCAAAUAGUGCAUAUGUGAUCCCAAGGAAUAGAACAAAAUCAACUCCACGAAAGCAUGAGUCAUUCAAUGUAAGGGAUGUACAACAAUGAUGGAGUUCUAUGUUCGACAGGUGCAGAAGAAGAGGUGGUAAAUAUGUUUGGGAAAAGUUGGUUUUUUAAAAUAUGUCAUAAGUGAUAUUGAUCCUGCGCUUUCAUAUUGCAUGAUAUGUACUUGCAUUUUCAAGGAUUGAUAUGAUGAAGUCAUUUCAUUCUUCUAUCCAAACAUCGUGUCAUCCUUUGUUUACCUCAUUUGAGCUUUAAUCCUAUUUUCUUUCAUACCCCUCUUUUGGAAUCAAAAUAGAGUAAAAAAAAAUAUGUCCAAAAAGAAAAAAAGAAAAGUGCCAAGACAAAUAGAGUCAGAAAAAUCCAAAGAGAAAAGAGUGUUAAUAAAAGAAAAAGAAUCAAAAGUCUAAAUCAUGCAAAACAAGCUGCCAGAACUAAGUGUGACUUGAUUCUCCUCUCUCGAGGGUGAGAUAUGUAGGUUGCCCUACCCAGGGCUCGGUCCAACCUAAUAAACAUUUUAGAAUUCCCAGUCAAAAGAAACUGGGGCAUGAGUUAAUCCUCAUAGUUUGAGUCGAUUUCAAAAGGCAAGUUAUAAACAAAGAAAGACCUUCAGAUCUAUCUUUGAGAAUGUUAAGGCUAAGCAUACAAUGGAUAUGAUAACGCAUUUUGGAAACUACUUGUCUUCAUCAAAAUAAAGAAUAAGGAGAGAAAUAAAAAUGAGAGAGUCUUACUGGUGAAAACCCUCGCGGGCACUAUAAGGCGAUAGUGAGUUAAGAAAAUAAAAAUAAGAGUCUUAUUGGUGAAAACCAUCGCGGGAACCAUAAGGCAAUAGUGAGUUGAGAGAAAUAAAAAUGAGAGAGUCUUAUUGGUGAAAACCCUCAUGGGCACCAUUAGGUGAUGGUAAGUUGAGGGAGAUAAAAAUGAGUGAUUCUUAUCGGUGACAACCGUCAUGAGCACCAUAAGAUGACGGUGAGUUGAGACAAAUGAAAAUAAGAGAGUUUCUUUGGUGAAAAACCCUCAUAGACACCAUAAGGUAAUGAUGAGCUGAGAAAAGAAAAAUGAGACAGUCUUGUUGGUAAAAACCAUUCAAGGCCCCACUAGCCGAAUGAGGUCUUAAAUGCAGUUGACCUAAGGAAGCAACUCAAUUUUGAAGUCAUUCACUUAACAACAAUCGGUAGAAAGUUUUGGAUGGAAAGAUCAGGUAGUCUAAUCCAAUAUGCAUGCUAUAAUCAUUAGAGUUGACUUUCAUUUUUAGAAAAACUUUUCUUUCAUCUUAUUGAAUGGGGACAUUCAUUAUUAUUUUUUUCUUCUCUUUAUUAUAUUUUUAUUUUCUUGAGUCAGUUUCCAAAUAAACCAAAAAUUAUUGUUAUUUUUCUAUUGUCUUUGAGUCAAGUCCAUGUCAAAACAAGUGAGAAAAGAUUUCAAAAAUAGCUGCCAAUUUCUUCAAUUGCACAAAGCAAGACAGAAAGGCCAGCGUAUGAAAGAGACAUGAUUUUGAGCUAAAAAAAGGGCAUGCAGAAAGCUUUAUCAACAGGCAAAUCUGGGAACUCAUGAAAAUACCAAGGUUUAAAGGGUUUAUCUGAAAAGCAUGGCAAAGUAGAUAUACUGUGUUUAUUUCAGAGUCAAUCUUAAUAAUCUGAGUUUAGAUUAAUGACGUGAAAAAGUAGAGGUAAGUGCCAAUAAUCCAAAACAAAAUGAAGAAAAUGGACACUAGAGCACGUGUUGGGACAGCCAAGUGCGGCAAGCCACCACUAUGUUUUUAAGUGACAAAUUUUCUUUGUCAAAACAGGGGCAAAUUCACUUCACUUAAUUUAGCUACCAUUGGAAAAACAUAUCCAAGGGAAUUUAUUUUUUGUUCAGGAACCUCCUGAAAAAUGGGAAUUUACUUUCUGUUCAAGACCCUCUUGAAAAAUGGGAAUUUACUUUCUGUUCAGGACCCUCCUGAAAAAUGGGAUUUUACAUUCUGUUCAGGACCCUCCUGGAAAAUGGGAUUUUACUUUCUGUUCAGGACCCUUCUUAGAAAUAAGAUUUUACUUUCUGUUCCGGACCCUCCUGGAAAAUGGAAUUUUACUUUCUGUUCAGGACCCUCUCAAAAAAUGAGGUUUACUUUCUGUUCAGGACCCUGCCAAAAAAUGGGAAUUUACUUUCUAUUCAGGACCACCCCCGAAGUCCCCUCCCCCCACCUCUGAAAAAAUGGAAUUUUACUUUCUAUUUAGGACCCUCCUGAAAAAUAAGAUUUUACUUUCUAUUUUGGACCAUCUUAAAAAAUGGGAUUUUACUUUCUAUUCAGGACCCUCCCAAAAAAUGAGAUUUUACUUUCUGUUCAGGACCCUUCUGGAAAAUGGGAUUUUACUUUCUGUUUAGGACCCUCCCGGAAAAUAGGAUUUUACUUUCUGUUCAGGACCAUCCCGAAAAAUGAGAUUUUACUUUCUGUUCAGGACCCUCCCAGAAAAUGGGAUUUUACUUUCUGUUUAGGACCCUCUCGAAAAAUGGGACUUUACUUUCUGUUCAGGACCCUCCUAAAAAAUGGGACUUUAAUUUCUAUUCAGGACCCUCUUGACCUUCCUGAAAAAUGGGACUUUACUUUCUGUUCAGGACCCUACUAAUAAAUGGAACUUUACUUUCUGCUCAGGACUCUCUUGAAAAAUGGGACUUUACUUUCUAUGCAGGACCCUCCUGAAAAAUGAGAUUUUACUUUCUGUGCAGAACCCUCCUGAAAAAUGGGACUUUACUUUCUGUUCAGGACCCUCUAAAAAAAUGGGACUUUACUUUCUGUUCAGGACCAUCCUGAAAAAUGGGACUCUACUUUCUGUUCAGGACCCUCCUGGAAAAUGGGACUCUACUUUCUGUGUAGGACCCUUCUGAAAAAUGGGAUUUUUCUUUCUAUUCAGGACCCUCCUAAAAAAUAGAAUUUUUUUGUCUGUCCAGGACCCUCCUGAAAAAUGGGAUUUUACUUUCUGUUCAGGACCCUCCUAAAUAAUGGAAUUUUACUUUCUGUUCAGGAUCCUCUUGAAAAAUAGGACUUUACUUUCUGUUCAAGACCCUUCUGAAAAAUAGGACUUACUUUCUGUUUAGGACCCUCCUGAAAUAUAGAAAUUUACUAUUAUGUACAAGCCCUUUGUAAGGCUUCGCAAAUUUCCCUCGUAGUUUGAGCCGUAGGGCAUGUCGAGUGAGGCGUGAUUCCGGCCUAAAAGAUUGCAAAGUUUCUUCCUAAGUUAGUAACAUGUUAACUAUAUAGAUUUUAACCUUAUUCUGGGUAUGGAUUGGCUUUAUUCUUUUUAUCCAUCUAUAGAUUAUCGUACCCGUGUAGUCAAGUUUCAGUUUCCUGAUGAACCAGUGUUUGAGUGGUCUGGGAGUUCGGUUUCUCCCAAGUGUCAUUUUAUCUCCUAUAUCAAAGCCAGAAAGCUUAUAUCUAAAGGUUUCAUUUACCACCUAUUUAGGGUCAAGAAAACUAAGUCCGAGACUCCAACCAUCCAGUCGGUUAAUGUUGUUAAUGAGUUCCCCGAUGUCUUUCCAAAAGAUCUCCCAGGGGUACUUCCCAAUAGAGAGAUAGAGUUCAGAAAUGACCUUCUUCCUGACACUCAGCCUAUUUCCAUUCCGUCAUAUCAUAUGGCACCUUCCGAGAUUAAGGAGUUGAAGGAGAAACUCAAAGAUAUCUUAGACAAAGGUUUCAUUAGACCCAGUAUUUCUCCUUGGGGCACACCUAUUUUGUUCGUGCCAAAGAAAGAUCGAUCUUUGCGUAUGUCCAUUGACUACCGUCAACUGAACAAGGUCACAGUCAAAAAUAAGUAUCCUCUUCUGAGAAUUGAUGAUCUGUUUGAUCAGUUGCAAAGUGCAAGUUAUUUUUCCAAGAUAGACCUUAGAUCCAGCUAUCAUCAACUUACAGUGAGGGAAUGUGAUAUUCCAAAGACAGCCUUCCAAACCCGUUAUGGUCACUUUGAGUUUCUAGUCAUGUCUUUUGGGCUAACCAAUGUCCUAGAAGCCUUCAUAGACCUCAUGAAUUGAGUGUUCAAGAAAUACCUUGAUACGUUCGUUAUUGUCUUCAUAGAUGACAUCCUUGGGUACUCCCGUGAUGAGAAUGAUGAUGCAGCUCAUCUUAGAAUUAUCUUGCAAGCUCUUAGAGAUAACCUGUUGUUUGCUGAAUUCAGUAAGUGUGAAUUUUGGCUAAGUUCUGUAGCCUUCCUGGGUCAUGUUGUUUCAACUGAGGGUAUUAGAGUUGAUCCGAAAAAGAUAAAAUUUGUGAGAAACUGGCCUAGACUUAUCUCUCUAUCUAACAUUAGGAGUUUCAUGGGUCUAGUGGGCUAUUACCACUGUUUUGUUGUGGUUUUCUCUUCCAUUGCGUCUCCUAUGACCCGGUUGGCCCAAAAGAAGGUUAAAUACUAGUGGUCCAAAUCCUAUAAGAAGAGUUUUCAGGAGUUGAAGACUCGACUCACUUUAGCCCCUGUGUUGACUUUGCCUAAUGGUAUUAAUGGUUUUGUGGUGUAAUAUGAUACCUCUAGAGUUUGUUUGGGUUGUGUAUUGAUGCAAAGGGGUAAGGUUAUAGCCUAUGCCUCUAGACAGUUGAAGAUGCAUAAAAAGAACUACCCGACCCUUGAUCUUGAGUUAGCUGAUGUGGUUUUUGCUUUGAAAAUUUAGAAACACUAUCUUUAUGGUAUCCAUGUUGAUGUGUUUACUGAUCAUAAAAGCCUUCAGUACGUGUUUACCCAGAAGGAGUUGAACCUUAGGCAUAGUAGGUGGUUAGAGUUGUUGAAAAAUUAUGAUAUGAGUGUGUUGUAUCACCCAGGCAAGGUCAAUGUGGUGGCGAAUGCCCUUAGCAGAUUGUCCAUGGGUAGUGUUGCGCAUAUUGAGGAAGGUAAGAGAGAGUUAGCUUAUGAUGUUUAUUGUCUGGCUAGGUUGGGUGUUAGAUUGCUUGAUUCAGUGGAGGGGAGUACGUUGGUGCAAAGUAGUUUUGAAUCUUCUUUAGUUUUAGAAGUGAGGGAGAAUCAGGAUAGGGAUCCUAGUUUGGUCAAACUUAAGAAGUCAGUUAAGGACCAAAAGGUCAAGGUUUUCUCUCAAGGGGAAGAUGGUGUGUUAAGGGUGCAUGGCAGGUUGUGUGUUCCAUUUGUUGAUGAUUUGAGGUGGAGGAUUAUGGUUGAAGCGCAUGGCGCGCAUUAUUCCAUUCAUCCCGGUACUACCAAGAUGUAUCGAGACUUGUGGGAAAUCUAUUGGUGAAACGACAUGAAUAUGGACAUCAGCGAGUUUGUAGCAAAGUGUGCGAUGUGUCAACAGGUUAAGGUAGAGCACCAAAGACUGGGUGACGUGAUGCAAGAGUUUAGUAUACCUACUUAGAAGUGAGAGAUGGUGAAUAUGGACUUCAUGACUAGGAUGCCUCUUUCGCGUCGUCAUCAUAAUUCUAUUUGGGUUUUAUGGAUAGGUUGACUAAGUCCGCAUAUUUCUUGCCCAUGCAUACAUCUUAUACGACUGAGGAUUAUGCUAGAUUGUAUAUCCAAGUGUUGGUCAGACUACAUGGAGUUCCCUUGUCUAUCAUUUCGGAUAGGGGUACUCAAAUUACUUCUCAGUUUUGGAGGGCGUUUCAGCAGGGUCUUGGCACCCAAGUUCUUUUGAGUUCAUCUUUUCACCAACAGAUAGAUGGUCAGGCUGAGAGGACCAUUCAGACCCUAGAGGAUAUGUUGAGGCUGUGUGCUCUUAAUUUCCAAGGUAGUUGGGAUAAGCAUUUUCCAUUGAUAGAGUUCGCCAAUAACAAUAGUUUCCAUACUAGCAUUGAGAUGGCACCAUUUGAGGCUUUGUAUGGUAGGAGGUGUAGAUCACCCAUACGUUGGUUUGAAGUGGGCAAAGCUCUGUGUGUGGUCCUGAUGCAGUGUUCAAAGCUAUGGAGAAAGUUAUGUUGAUUAGAGAAAGGUUGAAGACCACUCAGAGUCAUCAAAGGUCUUACACAGAUAUAAGGAGGAGAGAACUUGAGUUUAAGGGAGGUGAUUUGGUGUACUUGAAGAUUUCACCCAUGAAAGGGGUGAAAAGGUUUGAUAGGAAGGGAAAGCUUUGUCCCUGUUAUGUUAGCCCAUAUCGAGUCUUGAGCCGUGUUGGUAAAAUGUCUUAUGAGUUUGAGUUUCCCCCGGAGUUGUAUGCCGUUCAUCCUAUCUUUCAUGUCUCUAUGCUUAAGAAGCAUAAUUGUGAUUCCUUUGUGGUUGAUCCUUCAGAGAGUGUUGAUAUUCAAGAUAGCCUUUCCUUCAAUGAGAUUUCCGUGGAGAUCCUAUUCUUUCAGAUCUGUAGACUAAGGAACAAAGAAGUUCCCUUGGUCAAAGUUUUGUGGCAGAACCAAACUGUUGAGGGUGCUACUUGAGAGGCAGAAGCAGACAUGCGAGCCAAAUACCUGCACCUCUUUUAUGCUAGUUUAGAUCAAUCCGAAGGUACCAUUCUUCCUUGAUUCAUCUUUUCUAAUCUAAAGUUCAACUAUGCAUCUAUCUUUGUAUGAGUUCUUGCGAUAUCCAGAGUGGUCAUAAGUUUAGGAAGAUUUUGAACCAUUUAGUAAUUAUUUCAUCUUUGUGUACUCAGUUUUUCCUGUAUUCCAAGACUAACUAGUGACAUUCGAGGACGAAUGUUCCCUAAGGGGAGAUAUUGUAAGGCCCCGCAAAGUUCCCUCUUAGUUUGAGCCGUAGGGCACGUUGAGUGAGGCCUGAUUCUGGCCCUAAAAGAUUGAGAAGUUGCUUCCUAAGUGAGUAACGUGUUAACCGUAUAGAAGUUCCCUAAUUUCUACUUUUUGUCACAUGUGAAAUCUGAUAAGCUUUCCAUCAAUAUCAGAUUUUCCCAAAUCCAACACUUAGGUAAGAAGUUAUGGCUAAUUUAAGCUUUAGUCGUAAAACUGCAUCAUUUAAUUGCCUGGCGCAUAGCGGAGAGGGUUGAUUUGGCAAUUGUCAAUUUCUAGUGGAACCCCGUGAUAGUGGUGCAUCGCGGAGGAGUCCCAGGUCCCAACCAGUGGGAAAACACGAUGGCUCUGAAAUUCUUGUGCCCAAAAGGCUAUUUACAUCAUGAAAUUCUUGAAAUAUAUGAGGUUUUUUACAUGAACUUGAAUUGGUUUUUCACCCAUUAUUAUUGAAUGAAUUAUACUGAUAUUUCCCAUGAAUUAAGAGUCAAAUGGUGUGAUUUCUACAUGUUUUCUUGAGUAUUUACAUCUGUGUAUAAACCCCAUGAUUUACUCCUUGAUAAGCUAAUAUUGAAUUGUAGAGAUAUUGAAGCAUAUGGUUAUAUUGAGAUUUUGAGGUAACUUGCUGAAAUUCCCAGAUUUCCACAUGAUUUAUGAAUCUAUAUGCUAUAUAUUAUGCUUUUGAUAAGCUUUAACUUGAGAUUGAAUAAUGGGUUAGUAAGCCGUAUUUGAGAUUUGUGAAAUUAUGAACGCUUAUGCUAUGAGCACCCAUGUUUUGAGUAUUUUGAGAUGAUUGAGAAAUGAAUUUACCUAAUGGUCCUUGAGCUUUGAAAUCCACUUCACUAUAUGAUAUUAUCGAUUUGAUUAUUGGGUUCUUGGUGAACCAUGUGAUUAUUCUAAAAGUAGAUUUUUUAUGAGAUGAGCUCAGAUAAUCUAAAGGGAGUAGUAUUUAGCACCGAGUGGAUAAGUUACUACGGUUUCUUAUCCCAAAACUAUGUGCCACCGUAGGUUGGGACUGAGGCCGAGUUUAAGAUGAUUAUGAUUGGUCCUGAGGCCAAGUUUUGUUUAGUGAUCAAUAGACCUAGGUUAUACUCCCUAGCAAGAGUAUGACGUUCCUCCCCAAUGUGGGGUCUAAUCCUUAGAAGGACAAAAUGUUGGACUCCAUGUAGGUCGCAUGGUUUAUGUCGGUUACGAGAACCUCCCUUGACAUUUAGAAUUCGAGAUCAAAUACUUAUUUUCCUUCCCUAUAAGCUAUUUUCCUAAAUGGUUGAAUUGCAAAGAUAUUUCCCCAACUAAAGUAUUUUAUCGAUGUGAGUUAUUUCCUAAAUGAAAGCAUCUUCCCUUGUUAUAGUAUUUUUUAUAAAGCCUCGAGAUAAGUUGUUUCCAUAAACUAGAAUGACUUUCCAUUUAAUAUGGAGUGAUUUUCCUAAAUCUUGAGAUGAGAUAUUUUCCUAAAGUGAAUGAAACUUUUUCAAGUAUGUUUUCAAGUUAUAUGAUUCCGAAUUCCAAGUAUAUGAGUUCUAAAUAGUUAUGAAAUGUUGAGCAUUGAAGAAGUUUUACUCUCCAUGAGACUUAUGCAUGAGUUGAAAAUAUUGUUUAAAGUCCCUUAGCCUUUGGGUAUUGAGAACAAGAGAAGGUUUCGAAUUUUGAGAUUAAACAAUGAUGACUCACAAGAUUUGUGUUGCAUGCUCCAUUCUACAUGACUUACGAGCUUUAUAAUUGUGAGUCAUCUCAUAAUGCAUACAUGAUUUGAUUAAAGAAGAUUGUUACUAUUUUAUUCAUAUGCAUUCACCCCCGCAUACUCAGUACAUUCCAAGUACUGAUCCACAUAUAUGUCUAUGUGCUAUAUUGUUUCAUAAUGUAGGUUCAGGUGCUCAGUCUCAGCCUCGCCCGUGAUUCUUUGAGUACUUUGCCUAUGUUUUCUACAGUGGUGAGUCCUCAUGAUUCGAGGACCAAUCUUCAGAUAUUUACCGUACUUCAGAGACUAUGUUUUAUCUUUAGUUCAUUUCAAGUCAGUUGAGGACAUGUCCCAACGGCUCUCUAGAUUUUGAUUUGUAGAGGCUUGUCAGACUAGUGUCAGACUUGUGAUGUGUCGAGGGUUCGCUAUUGUGGUUUUAUUGAGAUUUCUCUAUAUAGUGGUCUUAUGGACCGAGUAUCUUUUCCAUAUUUCCUUUCAUGUGAUAUGACUAUGCUAGUGUUGAGUCCAUUCUUAUCUUGAAUUGAGUUUCAUUGGUGGAAACCGGUUCUAAGGGUUAGCUUAGGGAAAGUAGCCUUAGGCACCGUGUGACAUCCCGGGAGAAGAUUUUGGGUCGUUACACCCUCCUGGAAAAUGAGACCAUACUUUCAAGAAAAAUAAAAUUCUUCUUUAUUAUAAUCUUUGUUUGGAAUAAUUUUCGUUCUACUUUGAUUUUGGUUUCAGGAGCCCGCCUGAAGAACAAGGAGAGAAAAUGGUAAGUCAGGAGCCCGCCUAAAGAACAGGGUGAUGAAAUUGGAAGUUGAUGAAAUUGAAAGUCAGGAUACCUUCUGAAGAACAGGGUGAAAAAGUUAAAAAGUCAAUGAAUAAGGUGGUGAAAUAUAAAGUCAAAAAUGGCAAGUCAGAAGCCCUCUUGAAGAGUAGGGAAAAUAAAUGAAAGUCAAGCAACAAGGUGAACCGAUUGAAAACCAAGAAAAAAGUGAUAAAAUUGCAAGUCAGGAGCCCGCCUGAAGAACAAAGUGAAGAAAUCGCAAGUCAGGAGUCCGCCUGAAGAAUAGGGUGAUGAAACUUAAGUCAGGAGUCCAAAAGAAGCUGCAUAGAUAGGAUUUUUGUAAUUUCAUUUAUGUUUUAACUUGUAAUUUUCAUUUCUGACAUAAUAACAGAGUCGCGGACCAGAACCCUAACGAGACCUCACUCGACUCUCCAACUCGGUAUAGUCCAUCACUCUUCAAUCCUUUGAGAUAACUGUCACUUGAUUCCCUUGUAACUUGGGUAGUUAGGAUGCCUUAAGUUAAGAUUCGGUUGUCCUCCUUCCUUUUAUUUCUUCCUUCGAAUAAUGAUUGGGACAAAAUUCUGUCUCGUCGUCUACUUCUUUGUAUGAAAACACUCCGUGUUUACAUUCAAAGAGAGCAUGAUGUAGACACGUAAGUUUGUCCCUUCGAAAGAUUAAUUUUCACCUAUUUACUUUAUUCUACCGUGUACUCCUAACUGUGUAAUUAUUCCUCAUAAAAGAACAAAAAAUAACAAACUCCCAAACAAAUUUUAUCCUAUCCUAACCCCCUUUACACCUAAUCCUAACAACCUACCCCACCCCACACCCUACCUUACCUUAUCUUUACCCCUCAUAUUUUAUUCCAUUUGGUUAACAAAUUAAAAAAGAUAAAAAAAGGAGGGUCCCACAGGGAAUCUCCAUAUUUACAAAGCAUAAUACAUAUAUACACAUUCACCAGCAUCAUCAUAGGGAGAGACAUAUACAUAUAAAUUUUAUUUUUCAAUUCAUUAGAAAAAAGAGGGCCCCCACGGUUUGGCUUGAAUUUUCCAUAAGACACUAUAUAUACAUAUACUCUCACAGAAGACUAUCAGGACAGAUCAUCCAUUAUUUUUUUUCUCUUCUUGGAUUGAUAAUACACAAAAAACCACGCACCAACUCACAAUUUUGCUCUCAAGAACAUCCACAUACACGCACACCCAUACCAAAAUUACACACAAAUGGUGAAAAAUAGUGAGAUGCAAGGUGAAUUGAAGGGGGAAUAGUGAGAUGAGUGAGUGAGGAUCACAAGCGGAGAGAGAGAGAAUAAUGGAAAGAGAGAGCAAUGAAAUCAGGUAGAGAGGGUGAAAAUUGAGAGAGAUGGUGAGGGUUUCAGGUCUUUGGUCACUGCUCUUGCGACUUGGCUCACCAAAAUUUGUUUUCCAUCCAUCAUUCAAUCAUUUCUCUUCAUAUUUCUGAUAAAAUCUCAUCGAAAUUGAUGCUAUCAGUAUCCAGUCGUCUAUUCAACAAGCCCAGUCCAAAAUCCUCAAAUUAUCUCCAUUUUUCUCUGAUUUUUAGGUAGAUCCAGCUGGAAAACAUGAACUAGCGAUGAAAAUUAGUUGAAAUCCAUUUUGUUUUUUAAUCAAUUUCAAGACAUUUUCACAUACGGGUUUGUAUUCUGUUGUGAUUUCGUUCUUAGUUCAUCGGUAUUCAUGUCGAUUUUGGGGAUAUAGGUUCUAUUUGUCUCGAUUGAUUUAUCCUAAGCAGUUUGGGGUUUCUAUUUCUCACUAUCGAGUUGGAUUCCGUGGUUGUUGAAGUUCUAUUCGAAAUUCUAUUGUCCAAGCUUUCGUAACUUUAUUAUCAACGAAAUCAGUUCUUCAAAGGUCCAUCUCUUAACUCUACUUUUUGAUUAUAUCGAAGUUGGUUAAUAUCGUGAUUUUGUGGUGUUGUUUUGAAUAUUUUAAGCAAAUAUUGAUUGUUGUUGUGGAUAUGAAUGAUCGGUAUGCUUAAAUAUUUGAAUCUUUAUUUGGGGUAUGUGUUCAUUGUUUGUUCGGAUUUUGAAAAGUUAUUUGAUAGUCGCAUUGGUUUAAUCAUGUGAUAUUUGGAGGGCGGAAAUUAAAACAUUAAUAAAAGUGAAUAUUAGUUCAUGUUGAUUUAUUGAUAAUCCUUGAUUUGGGAAAAGUAUCGACUUUGUUUAAAUUUGAUAGACUUAUGGUUUAAGUCGAUAAUUGUUAGGAAAACGAUAGGGGAAGGCACAUUUAGGAACGUCAGAUUGGUGAAUGCUUGAAAUAUGGGUAGAAUGGCUCUGUUUUUUCAUUUUAGGAUCAAUUUUACUAUUUGAUCGCAGAAUGAGCCGAAGUAUCUGUAUAUAUUUAUUCACCGGGGAAUGCCUCGAGGUAUCUUGUACCCGAAGGACGUUCGUGAUGAAGGCCCGAGGCGUUGGGUAGAGCGUUAGUCUAGGAUUAGUUUAGAAUAGGAUUUGUUUUUACGCAUUUUUCUAUUUUGGACUGUAUAAUUGGACUGAACAUUAUUAUUUUGGUUUUGGAUUAUUGUUUGAUAUGUUUGAUAUUUGUUUUAUGUGUUUUAUGUGGCUUACACAUUCAUAGUAUCAAAUUAGCAGAUCUGCCCUACCAAGCGACCGUGGUCGAACCACAGGAUCGAGAGGUUCCUAACACCUUCCCCUCGGUCAACAGAAUUCCUUAGUCAGAAUCUAUGUUUGUGGCUCAGUUUAAUGAGUCAAAAACAGUUUUAAAAAAGGUUUCCAAAGGUGACUUGACACACCUGAUAAUGCAAAGUGGCAACUCUGAGUUAAAUGUCAAUAAUCCUUUUUGAAACAAAAAUUUUUACCUUUUUUCACAUAACAAUAAAAACUCUUUCAAACCUUAAACCUAUUUUUUUGUUAAAAAGGGAGUGUGACAGCUCUGGUGACUCUGCUGGGGAUUUUUCAGAAUUUGAGCUAAUUUUUGGAGUUGUAUCGAUUUUGUUUGACAUCAUGGGUGUAUAGACAUUGUUUGUGUUGUUUUGUGUUAUUGUUUCUCAUUGUUGAGUACCUACGUGCUCUUUGUUUACAGUUUUUAUCUUAUGUAUUACCGCUUUAUAUCUGGCAUCAUGUGCAUUACCCGAGUCAUAACCCAAGUCAUUCUUUCUGCAACAAGUCCGUAGUACACGUGUUGUACACAACAUCUAGUUGAUUCAUCCUUAUUUGAGGAGGGGGAGCCGUUGGUGUUAUGGAGUGGGUGGAAAGCUCUCGCAGCAACUAUCGACCAUACGCUCCCCCGAACAGCCUUGUUAGUGGACCCCAGUAUAGGUCAACCUUUAGUUCAUACUUAUCUGCAUCAUACCUAGCAGGACUUACGUGGCCCUUUGUAGGAGACUCACCUCUAAAGCAUCCCUACGUGCUAAAUUUUGCAUCUCUGAGGGUAGCAUGGUCAUUUGACGAACCGAUUUGGGGAAUGUGUUAGAAGGAAAGUGUGUAGACAAGAAAGUGUUGCAAAAAAAAGAGAGAUAAAAAGGAAAGGUGAUGUCGAAAAAGAGUGUUUCAUAGUUUUUCUUUUGGACUUCUUUAUGGCUUUCAUUUUUGACAAUUCAAAAAUUCAAAAAGAUUUUUUACCUCUUGCACUCAUUUCUCAAAAAAGAAAAAAAAAUCAAACACAUCAAAAAGAUUUUCUUUUGAUUCCUUUAACAUGCAUCCAUUAUUCAAAAUUUUCAAAAAGAUUUUUUUUAGGAGAUUUUAUAAAAGAAAAUUCAAAAAUUAUAGAAAUUUUGUACAUCUCAUAUAACGAAAAUAGCAAAAAAAAUUAUUUCAUAGUAAUUGGUAUCAGUUUUAUGUGAAGUUUCAAAUUAAAAACUCAAAAAAAAAUUAUUCUCUGGUCUUUGGUCGUGUCUCUUAAGUUAGGUCUGUCUGUCAGUUAAUCUUUAAUUGUCCAAUCUGGACGAACUACUCACCCCUGAUUCUCCCUUUCGGGGGCGACAUACGUAGGCAACCUAUUGUUGGUUCGGGGAUUUUAUUUAAAAAAAAAAAGAUUUUCUUCUCCUUAUUUAUAGUAGGUGUUUCAUAUAUGCCUUGAAAAUAAAAAUACAAAAAGAUUUUCCUUAAUAAUCGUAGGUUUUAUUUUUGGUGGAUCUUAUUUGAAAAAUCCAAAAUGAUUUUCCUUUAAUAGGUUUAAAUUUCAUUUUGUAUGAAACUCAAAAUUGAAAGCCCAAAAAGAGUUUCUUUGGUAAUUAUAGAUUUCAUUUUGUAUAAGGAUUUAAACUUGAAAAAUACAAAAAAGAUUUUUGUCAAUUCUUUUGAUAAUUUGUUAUUUUCUUUUCUCUUUGAAGUUUCAAGAAAAAGAAUGGAAAAAGAGUUUAAUUGGCCAUUUUCGCAAGACUUCACGAACUAAGCACACCUCAUUCUCCUCUCUUGGGAGUGAGAUACGUAGGCUCUCUUCUUGGGUUCGGUGAUAUUUAAAAAAAAAACAAAAAGAGGUUUUGAAAAAGUGUUGAACUCUAACACAUUUGCUAUUUUUUUUGUUGAGUCAGCAUAAGGUGGUUGGUUUGUGGCAUUCUGGCUGGUCCUUCACAUCACACCAAAUCCAAAGAGUUAGUUGUGUCCAACAAAGAUAUAUAGAUUGACAUCAUGGAUCAAACAAAGAAUCUGGAAAAAGAGAGUUUGAAGCAAGAGAUUAGGAGGCCAAGACAACAAAUGAUAGAAAUACAUCGAGCUAGGGCCAGUGGGUUGCCUCCUCCUCCAUUUUCCUUUAUUGAUCCUACAAACACCUCAAAUUUUCCACCAAAAUAUCAAUGUCAGUUUUUUACUGUUAUUGAUUCACCGCUUCAUGACACAGAAAUCAUUCUAAGCCAAAAGCAUCUCAAUACUUCCACCUCUUUUCCUCUAGCUCCUUAGCAUAAGUCUGCUACAUUCACAACAUCACAUGUAGUCUGUGACCUUGUUGCUCAAUCCUUUACUGGGACUUGCACACUGGCUCGCCCAAGGGUUGUGCGUCCCCAUGCUGCUAGUGAACCUAUAUUCAGUACUCUUGGUGAUCAUUGUUAUACUCCUGAGCCUGCUUUUAAGUUAAUUGGACCACCAAGAUUUCUUAACAAGAAGUCAAGUACGCCAGAAGAGUCAGAGAAAAUGGUUGGAAAAAUGAAGAGUGUAGAAAAUGCUAUGAAAAAUUCUCUAGGACUUGCGGGUAAAGAAGAUGUUUCAUAUAAAGACUAGAGCGUGCCUCCAAGUGCUAACCUUCCUCCAAUCUUUGAGAUGUCGAAAUUUGAGGAGCAAGACGGGCAUGAGGAAUUCGUGAAACAUUUGGCACAAUAUUACAAUCAAUUAAGGGAACCUGGAGAGAAGACGAAUGAGAAAGAUGACACUGCUAUUGUAAUUGGAGAACGGGCACAUCCAAGAAGACGACGUCGUCGUUGCUGUCAGUCUCAAGCCCAUUUUCAUAUCCAAGCUCUCCGUAAUCACUACCAAAAUCUAUUAUACUCUGUUUCCCCACCUUCAUAUCUAGUAUUUUGCGCACAACCAUAUGUUCAACUCCCUCCUUACUCAUAAUGGCACGCACCAACUCCUCAAAGCCAUCCUCCAAUUCCACAAAUAUAUCAAAUCCCUUAUAGGCUCGAUGUUCAAUCCAAGUUAAAUAAUGAAAUGAGGCAUAAAUUGAGGGAUAGUUUUACACCAAUUAGAAAGUCAUAUGCCAGUUUAUUUUAGAGAUUGGCACAACAAGGCAUGAUCACUCCUCUACUUGGGUAUACUCCUGACCCACAUUCAAGAAGUUUUGAUCAUAAUGUACGAUGUGCAUAUCAUUCAAAUGUUCAGGGUCACAGUAUUGAAGAUUGUCGUGUUUUGAAAAGAGAAAUUAAGAAGAUGAUUCAAGAAAAAUUGAUUAUGGUGCAGAACAUUGACGGUGAGGAAAACUCUAGUCAUGUUGAUAUACAAACCAGUGGCAAAGAUGUCAGGUUGAGCAAUUGAGAAGUCACCUCUCUCCUUACUAGAAAGAGGUCUGGUAGUUUAUUUUUUUUUAUUUUUUGUUAUCCAAAUUAUUUUAAGGUUGUAAUCCGGGAUCUAUCUUGUUUUGUCCAUUUGUCGUUAUGUCCAAACCCUUCUAGCUUUUAUUUUAAUUGUUCUAGCUUUUAUUUUAAUUGAAUGAAGUGUCCCUUUUUCUUUUGUGUUUUAAAUAUUUGUUGUUUGUUUAUUUUCUUUUAUACAGUAUAUUUUAGGUUAAUUCUAGUGUUAUGACACGCUAGCAAAAUUUUUAGCCAGAUCUUAAAAUCCAAUUUAAGCAUGAACAUUGAAUCAGAGGGUUAAAGUUAGAAAAAGAAAGCAUAUGAGAAAAUAGGUAGAGUUCUGAGACAUUUGGUGACAAGUUCAAGCCUUCUUUGAAAAUUAAGGCAAUUAUUUUGAGAAUCACAAGAAUAACUUGGUCAUCAAUUUAAAAACGUAGCUCAAUUAGGUCAAAUAGUAGAUAUGUGAUCCCGAGGAACAGAACAAAAUCAACUCCACGAAAGCAUAAGUCAUUUAAUGUGAGGGAUAUACAACAAAGAUGGAGUUGUAUGUUCGGCAAUUGUAGAGGAAGAAGUGGUACAUAUGUUUGGGGCAAGUUAGUGUUGUAAAAUAUGUCAUAAGUGAUAUUGAUCGUGCACUUUCAUAUUGCAUGAUAUGUACUUGCAUUUUCAAGGAUUGAUAUGACGAACGCAUUUUAUUCUACUAUUCAAACAUUGUGUCAUCCUUUGUUUACCCCAUUUGAGCUUUAUUCCUAUUUUAUUUCAUACCCCUCUUUUGGAAUCAAAAUAGAGUAAAAAAAAGAAGAAAAAGAAAAUAUGUCCAAAAAGAAAAAACAAAAAAAAAGAAAAGUGCCAAGACAAAUAGAGUAAGAAAAUCCAAAGAGAAAAGAGUGUUAGUAAAAGAAAAAGAAUCAAAAGUCUAAAUCAUGCAAAACAAGCUGCCAGAACUACGCGUAACCUGAUUCUCCUCUCUCGAGGGUAAGAUACGUAAGCUGCCAUACCCAGGGCUCGGUCCAACCAAAUAAAAAUUUUAGAAUUGCCCAGUUAAAACAAAUGGGGGCAUGAGUUAAUCCUCAUUAUUUGAGUCGAAUUCAAAAGUUGUAAGUCCUAACCCACUUAAAGUUUCGUUUAGGAUUUAUAUCAUCCUUUCUUUCUAACACUAUCCAAAAGCCAAGUUAUAACCAAAGAAAGACCUUUAAAUCUAUCUUUGAGAAUGUUAAGGCUAAGCAUGCAAUGGAUGUGAUGACGCAUUUCGGAAACUACUUUUCUUCCUCAACAUAAAGAAUUAGGAGAGAAAUAAAAAUGAGAGAGUCUUAAUGGUGAAAACCCUCGCAGGCACCAUAAGGCGAAAGUAAGUUGAGAUAAUUAAAAUGAGAGAGUCUUAUUGGUAAAAACCCUCGCGAUCACCAUUAGGUGAUAGUGAAUUGAGAGAAAUAAAAAUGAGAGAGUCUUAUUGGUGAAAACCCUCAUGGGCACCAUAUGGCGAUGGUAAGUUGAGGGAGAUAAAAAUGAGAGUCUUAUCAGUGACAACCCUCACAAGUACUAUAAGACGAUGGUGAGUUGAGACAAAUAAAAAUAAGAGAGUCUCAUUGGUGAAAAACCCUCACGGACACUAUAAGGCAAUGGUGAGAUGAGAAAAGGAAAAUGAGAGAGUCUUGUUGGCAAAAAUCAUUCAAAGAGCCACUAGCCGAAUGAGGUCUUAAAUGCAAUUGACCUAAGGAAGCAACUCAAUUUCGAGGUCAUUCACUCAACAAGAAUUGGUAGAAAGUUUUAGAUGGAAAUAUCAGGCAGUCUAAUCCGAUAUGCAUGCCAUAAUCAUUAGAGUUGACUGUCAUUUUUAGACAAACUUUUCUUUCAUCCUUUUCAAUGGGGACAUUCAUUGUCAUUUUUUUCUUCUCUUUAGUUAUAUUUUUAUUUUAUUGAGUCAGUUAUCCAAAUAAAGCAAAAGUUGUUGUUAUUUUUCUCUUGUCUUUGAGUCAAGUCCAUGUCAAAACAAGUGAAAAAAAUUUUCAAAACUAACUGCCAAGUUCUUCAAUUGCACAAAGCAAGACAGAAAGGCCUGCACAAGAAAGAGAAAUUGUAAGCCAAAAAAAGGGCCUGCAGAAAGCUUUGUCAACAGGCAAAUCUGGGAAUUCAUGAAAAUACCAAGCUUUAAAGGGUUUAUCUGAGAAGCAUGGCAAAGCAGAGAUGCUGUGCUUAUUUCAGAGUCACUACUAGUAAUCUGAUUUUGGAUCAAUAACGUGACAAAGCAGGGGCAAGUGCUAAAUAUCUGAAACAAAAUGAAGAAAAUGACACUAGAGCAGGUGUCGGGACAGUAAAGUGCGGCAAGCCACCACUAUAUUUUUAACUGACAAAAUUUCUUUGUUGAAACAGGGGUCAAUUCGCUUCACUUAAUUUAGCUAUCAUUGAAAAAGCACAUCCAUGGAAAUUUACAUUUUCUUCAGGACCCUCUUGGAAAAUAGGAUUUACUUUUUGUUCAGGACCCUCCUAGAAAAUGGGAAUUUACUUUCUGGUCAGGACCCUCCUGGAAAAUGGGAAUUUACUUUCUGUUCAGGAUUCUACUGGAAAAUGGGAUUUUACUUUCUGUUCAGGACCCUCCUGGAAAAUCGGAUUUUACUUACUAUUCAGGACCCUCCUGGAAAAUUGGAUUUUACUUUCUGUUCAGGACCCUCCUGAAAAAUAGAAUUUUACCUCCUGAAAAAUUGGAUUUUACUUUCUGUUCAGGACCCUCCUGAAAAAUAGAAUUUUACUUUCUGUUCAGGACCCUCCUAGAAAAUGAGAUUUCACUUUUUGUUCAGGACCAUCACAAAAAAUAGGAUUUUACUUUCUGUUUAGGACCCUCCCAAAAAAUGGGAUUUUACUUUCUGUUCAGUACACCCCCUCCCAAAAAAAUGAGAUUUUACUUUUUGUACAGGACCUUCCCGAAAAAUGAGAUUUUACUUUCUGUUCAGGACUCUCCUAAAAAAUAGGAUUUUACUUUCUAUUCAGGACCCUCCCUAAAAAUGGGAUUUUACUUUCUGUUCAGGACCCUCCCGAAAAAUGGGAUUUUACUUUUUGUUUAGGACCCUCUCGAAAAAUGGGAUUUUACUUUCUGUUCAAGACACUCCUAGAAAAUGAGACUUUACUUUCUGUUUAGGACCCUUCUGAAAAAUGGGACUUUACUUUUUGUUCAAGACCCUCCUGAAAAAUGGGAAUUUACUUUCUAUUCGGGAUCCUCCUGAAAAAUAGGACUUUACUUUCUGUUCUAGACCCUCCUGAAAAAUGAGACUUUACUUUCUGUUCUGGACCCUCCUAAAAAAUGGGACUUUACUUUCUGUUCUGGACCAUCCUGAAAAAUGGGACUUUACUUUCUGUUCAGGACCCUCCUGAAAAAUGAGAUUUUACUUUCUAUUUAGGGCCCUCCUAAAAAAUAGGACUUUACUUUCUGUUCAGGCCUCUCCUGAAAAAUGGGACUUUACUUUUUGUACAGGACCCUCCUGAAAAAUGAGAUGUUACUUUCUAUGCAGGACCCUUCUGAAAAAUGAGACUUUACUUUCUGUUCAGGACCCUCCUGGAAAAUGGGAAUUUACUUUCUGUUCAGGACCUUACUGGAAAAUGGGAUUUUACUUUCUGUUCAGGACCCUCCUGGAAAAUCGGAUUUUACUUACUAUUCAGGACCCUCCUGGAAAAUUGGAUUUUACUUUCUGUUCAUGACCCUCCUGAAAAAUAGAAUUUUACCUCCUGGAAAAUUGGAUUUUACUUUCUGUUCAGGACCCUCCUGAAAAAUAGAAUUUUACUUUCUGUUCAGGACCCUCAUAGAAAAUGAGAUUUUACUUUUUGUUCAGGACCAUCACAAAAAAUAGGAUUUUACUUUCUGUUUAGGACCCUCCCGAAAAAUGGGAUUUUGCUUUCUGUUCAGUACACCCCCUCCCAAAAAAAUGAGAUUUUACUUUCUGUACAAGACCUUCCCGAAAAAUGAGAUUUUACUUUCUAUUCAGGACUCUCCUAAAAAAUGGGAUUUUACUUUCUAUUCAAGACCCUCCCGAAAAAUGGGAUUUUACUUUCUGUUUAGGACCCUCUCGAAAAAUGGGAUUUUACUUUUUGUUCAAGACCCUCCCAGAAAAUGAGACUUUACUUUCUGUUCAGGACCCUCCUGAAAAAUGGGACUUUACUUUUUGUUCAAGACCCUCCUGAAAAAUGGGACUUUACUUUCUAUUCGGGAUCCUCCUGAAAAAUAGGACUUUACUUUCUGUUCUAGACCCUCCUGAAAAAUGAGACUUUACUUUCUGUUCUGGACCCUCCUAAAAAAUGGGACUUUACUUUCUGUUCUGGACCAUCCUGAAAAAUGGGACUUUACUUUCUAUUGAGGACCCUCCUAAAAAAUGGGACUUUACUUUCUGUUCAGGCCUUUCCUGAAAAAUGGGACUUUACUUUCUGUACAGGUCCCUCCUGAAAAAUGAGAUGUUACUUUCUGUGCAGGACCCUUCUGAAAAAUGAGACUUUACUUUCUGUUCAGGACCCUCCUGGAAAGUGAGACUUUACUUUCUAUACAGGAUCCUCCUGCAAAAUGGGAGCACAAAGAAAUAAGAAUUUGUUGAAUCCAAACAAUUAAAUAAAGAAAACAAUUAAAAAGCCAAUAAUUCAUUUUAAAACAGAAACUGAGCUUAACUGCCAUCUAAUUAUAGAAGCAAAUAUCAGAAUUUAAAUUGAGGCUAAGACGAGCGAAAAUUCAUAGAAUCAUAGCUAUGGAAUGAAUUUAAAGAUACUACUAUUGAAAUUCUAACAAAUAAUACAUAAGUUAAAGUUUCAGUAUUGAAAAUCUACAACAAUAAUACAUUGACACGUACAGAAAGAAUAGGGAAAAAAGUUAAGAUUAAUGAAGUACAAUAGGCUUAUCGCAGAAAGGAAAAUCCUGCAUCUGGCAAAGUGCAUGCAGCCCCAGAAUUAGGGCAAGCCUCAUUUUCUUCUAAUAUCAAUAUUUAGAUUUAAAGGCCUUUCUUUUUCUCAAUACAAGAUUUCAAAUCUUUAUAUGCUAUAGCAGCUUCUUUGACACCUAAAGCAGUUACAUUCAAACCAUCUAAUCUAGAAAACAACAAUCUCAUCUUUCCCCAUGCUAGCAAUGUCUUCGACUUCUCCCUCGAAAAGCUAUUCAAGUUGUAUAGAUCAUUAAGGCAUUCGAUAUCAAUAAGAUGUGCUUUUUCCCUAACACAAGUAGGCGUCCAAACAAAAUUCUAGCCUAUAAGCACAUCUAAUAUUUGCAACAAUCACAUACAUAUACGCAGAACUUACCCAUACCCUAUUAUUAGUAUUUUUAUGUGGUAAAAGAUUAUUUCUAAUAUAUCCUAGAUUGAAUAAUUAAUAAUAAUUAUAAUUAUAAUAAUAAUAAUAAUAAUUAAUUAUUAUUAUUAUUAUUAUUAUUUAUUCAAUCUAGGAUAUAUUAGUAAAUAAAUAAAUAAAUAGUGGUGGGGAUAAUAAUGUUGGAAAAAUAAAUAUUCCCACCCAGGAUAAUAUCCACACAAGUAGCAAUAACAAGAGAGUAACAACGAUACCAAAUAUUAUAACGGGGAAAAUAAAAUACCUAAUGGAGUAAUACAAUAAUACAGAUUACAACAUAGCAGUGUCAAAAGACUACUACUCUUUAUAAACGAAACAACACUCUUUUUAUUUCUCACAACUCACUACAAUAUUACUCCCACACUAUUAUCUCACAGACUAUAGAAUAUCUAUGUAUUACUCUCUUUUUAUCUCUAUUGUUCUCUCAAUUAUGGUGUGUUUCAAAAUGAAUGAGAAGUCAUCUAUUUAUAGAUGAACUUCUCAAAGUUUACAUGUUGCGACACCAAUUUUCAAAUCAUGUUGCAACACAAAUUUUCAACUUCAUGUCACUACACUAACAAUGUUACAACACCAAUUUUCUUUUACUUUUUAUUUAUUUUAUUUGACUAUUUUUUUAUCCCACAAAUCUCUCCCUUAAUUUUGAUUUUUCUUCUUCAUUCCAAGACUUGAUCUUAAUCUCUAAAAGUCUUCAAAAUUGAGAGGCUUUGUGAAAAUAUCUGCAACUUGAUCAUGGGAUUUCAUGUACUUGAGAUCUACCUCUUUCUUGGCAAUCCAUUCUCUGAUGAAGUGAUAUGUUGUAUCUAUGUGCUUACUUCGAUCAUGAUAUACUAGAUUCUUGGAAAGAGCCUGUGCUGACUUAUUAUCAACAUAAAUUAUCGUGGCUGCAGUCUAUGGUAAGUUAAGCUCCUUCAAUAAUCUUCUCAACCAAAUGGCAUGGCACGUACAUGAUGUUGUUUCCACAUAUUCAGCUUCGCACAUUGAGAGAGUAACAAUGGUUUGUUUCUUUGAGCUCCAACAAAUAACACAAUCACCCAAGAAAAACACAAACCUGAUGUGCUUUUCCUAGCAUCCACAUCUCCCGCAUAAUCGCUAUCAAAAAAUUCCACAAGGUUAAAAUCAUCAGAAGAAGAGUAAAAUAGUCCAAGGUCUAUCCUACCUUUUAGGUAACGAAGAAUUCUUCUAGCAACUUUCAAGUGAGUGGAAGUAGGAGCUUCCAUGAAACGAAUUACUACUUCAACUGCAAAAAGUAUAUCUGGUCUCGUACAGGUCAAGUACCUCAGACUUUCCACAAGACUUUUGAAAAGAGUGGAGUCCACAUUUUUACCAUUAUCAAACUUUGACAAUUUUGUUCUUCUUACCAUUGGGGUGUUCACAGGAUUGCAAUCAAACAUGUUGAAUUUCUUCAAAAUCUCCUUUGUAUAUCUUUCUUGAGAUAUGAAUAUUCCUUCCUCCAUUUGCUUAUCUUCUAGGCCCAAGUAAUAUGACAUGAGACCUAUGUCUUUCAUCUCAAAUUCAAGGGACAUAGUUUUGUUGAAAGCUUCAAACAAAUAUGGAUUAUUACCCAUCAGAAUAAGAUCAUCAACAUAAAGACAAAUAAUCAAAACAUCUACAUUAGUAUGAACUUUAAUGUAAAGAGCAUAUUCAUGGAUACAACGAGUAAACCUAUUUUUUUGAAAAUACCUGUCAAUGCGACUUUUCCACGCUCGUGGAGCUUGCUUCAACCCAUAUAAAACUUUUUUCAAUUUCAACACUUUAUUUUCGGGAUUCUUGACCACAAACAUAGACUUCCUCUUCAAGAUAUCCAUUCAAAAAUGCCGACUUGAUAUCUAGUUGAUGGAUUUUCCACUUCAUUUGUGCCGCCAAAGAGAUUAGCAGACGUAUCGUCUUCAUGCGGGAAACAGGUGCAUAGACUUCUUCAUAGUCAAUGCCAUUUCUUUUCUUAUAGCCUUUAGCUACGAGUCUUGCCUUGUAUAUCUCUACUUUUCCAUGAGAAUUCUUUUUUGCCUUGUAUACCCAUUUGACUCUAAUUGCUUGAUGAUCUUUAGGAAGAGUUAUUAACUCAAGUGUUGUUCUUUUUAAUUGACUGAAUUUCUUCCUCCAUGACUUGUCUCCAUUUUUUGUCUAUAACAUCAUCAUCAAAAUUCAUUGGUUCACCGUCAUCAUAGAGACAACACCAAAAAUCAAGAUUAGUAACUUCUUCUAUGUCAUCAUAGAGUUCUUGGAUGCUCCUCAUCCGUUGUGGCCUUUCACCUGAACCCUGAUCUUGAGAAAAAUAAGAGCCAAUAUUUGCUGGGAGGUUUGCAUCCUAUUCAGGUUCCGUGGUAUCCUACUUUUCUUCAUCUCCAAAGUAUGGAAAAAAAAUCAUAUGUUCUUUCUUACGGAACCUCCUGGACUUCCCAAUUUUAUAAUGCUUCUUCUUCAAAUUCAACAUCAUGACUGACCAUCACUUUGUUGUUGCAUGGAUUGUAUAACUUGUAGCCUUUUGAACUAGUGUUAUAGACAAUAAAUAUAUACCUGACACUUCGAUCAUCAAGUUUAGCUCUCCCUUGAUGUGGAACAUGAGCAUAGGCUAUGCUCUCAGAAAUUCUCAAGCGUUUGACACUUAGCUUUCUUUCACUCCAUGUUUCUUGAGGUGUUUGAUCUUCCAUAUUUCUUGUUGGAGACCUGUUUCUUAAAUAAACUGCAUAUGAAAUAGCCUCAACCCAAAAUUCUUUUGGAAUAUUUUUAGCUUUCAACAUACAUCUUGCCAUAUUAAGAAUUGUUCUAUUCUUUCUUUCUGCAACUUCAUUUUGUUGGGGCGAGUAAGAUACCACUAAAGGGCGAUGAUUCCAUGAGACUGACAAAUGUCAUUAAAUUCUUUUGAAGUGAAUUUGCCUCCUCUAUCGGACCUUAAGGAUUUUAUUUCAUAGCCACUUUCUUUUUCUACAAGUGCUUUAAAAUUUUUAAAAGCAACAAAAGCUUUUAAUUUUUGCUUCAAGAAAUAUACCCAAGUCUUUCUACUAAAAUCAUCAAUAAAGAUUAAAAAGUAUUUACUUUUAUCAAAAGAAGAUAGAUUGAUUGGAACACACACAUCGGUAUGAACAAGCUGAAGUGGAUUAGUUGCUCUUGACGUGGUUUCCUUCAGAAAACUCCUCCUUUCAUGUUUUCCAAGAAGACAAGCUUCACACAACUAAUUGGGAUGAUUGGUUGAUGGAAUUCCAUCAACCAUGUUCUUGUCUCCUAAUGAUUUAAAAGUUUCAAAGUUCAAAUGUCCAAAUUACAUGUUCCAACAUCAUGACUCAUCUUGCACAUUAGCCUACAAACAUUUUGCAUUAAUGGUCUUAAGAUUCAAAGGAAAUAAUCUAUUUUUUGUCAUACGCACUUUGGUAAUUAAAUUAUUGCUUGAAUCUCUAAGCCAAAGAUGCAUAUUUUUCAUAUAAAUAUCAUAUCCUUUUUCAAGAAGUUGGUCCAAACUCAAAAUAUUAUUUUUUAGUUUUGGCACACAGUAAACCUCAUUGAUCAAUUUGUGAUCACCAUUUUUAUAGGAUAUCAAAAUCAUACCUAUUCCUUCAAUUUGAAUCUUUGAGGUAUCUCCAAAAGAUACAUUACCACUUUUCAUGUUCUUGAUCUCCAAAACUUGUCUUCGUAUCCACACAUAUGAUUACUUGUUCCAUUAUCAAGAUACCAUGAACUGUAAUCAUCUGUAUUAUCUUUUGUGAGUGUCAUUAAUAAUGUUGACUCAUCUUCUUCUUUAUUGUUGUCACAAAGGUUAGCUUUUUUUUCAACAUUACUACGACAUUCCCAAGAGUAAUGUCAAAAUUUAUGACCGUUGUAGCACUCAAUUUUAGAUUUGUCAUACCUCAUUUCACUGAUACCUUGAUAAGCUCCACGUCCUCUGCCUCCUAGUUGUCCAUGACCACGACCUCUGAAUGUUUGGUGGUUUUUAUCUUUAUUUUUUAAUUUGUUAAUAUAACACCUUCCUCUUCCACAACCUCCACGGCAGCCUCAGCCUCGCCAUUGUCCAUUUCCUCUGUAACUUUUUUCACCUCCAAAAUCUUUGAAGGAUGCCUGAGUUUUAAGAAGUUACUCCAAUGGCUCUUCUUUUCUUCUUUUCAUUUUUUCUUUGUGGGUUUUUAAAGAACCAUCCAAUUGCUCUACUAUCAUAGACUCUAAAUCUUUAGACUCCUCAAUAGUACACACCACAUAAUCAAAUUUGGGUGUUAAAGAGUGAAGGAUCUUUUAUACCAUGCGCACAUCAUCUACUUCCUCCCUGUACCUUCUUAGUUGAUUCACAACAGCCAUCACUCUUGAACAAAAAUCCAAAAUGGAUUUGAAUUCUUUCAUUUUUAAAACUUUAAAAUCAUCCCUUAGAAUUUGAAGUUCUACCUUUUUCACCUUAUCAACUCCUUGGAGAGAAUUUUGUAAGAUCUCUCAAGCUUCCUUCGUGGUGGUUGCAUCAGCCACCUUCUCAAACAUGCCAUCAUUCAAACAUUAGUGGAUGAGAGUGAGGGCCUAUUGAUCUUUCUUUCUUGUCUUAAUCAAGACAUCUUUUCCAUUUUGAGACAGAGUCUUCUUAUUGGCGGAUUUUGUAUUCCCUUUGUCUAUAAUAACCCAAACAUCUUGAGAACCAAGAAUGUCUUUCAUUUGUAGGCACUAUUUUUCAUAAUUUUCUUUUGUAAGGCGGGAGUACUAAAAAGACAGUGGACUAUUAUUUUCCAUGGCAUUGAUACCACAUUGUUGGGAAAACCAAUAUUUCUGCCCAGGAUAAUAUCCACACAAGUAGCAAUAACAGGAGAUAAACAACAACACCAAAUAGUAUAACGGGAUAAAUAAAAUACCCAAUGGAGUAAUACAAUAAUACUGAUUACAACUUGGCAAUGUCAAAAGACUACUACACUUUUUAAAUGAAACAACACUCUUUUUAUUUCUCACAACUCACUACAAUAUUACUCCCACAAUAUUAUCUCACAGACUAUGGAAUAUCUAUGGAUUACACUCUUUUUCUCUCUAUUGCUCUCUCAAUUUUGGUGUGUUUCAAAAUGAUUGAGAAGUCAUCAAUUUAUAGAUAAACUUCCCAAAGUUUACAUGUUGUGACUCUAAUUUUCAAACCAUGUUGCAACACAAAUUUUCAACUUUAUGUCACCACACUAACAAUGUUGCAACACCAAUUUUCUUUUCCUUUUUAUUUAUUUUAUUUGACUAUUUUUGAUCCCACAAAUAAUAAUAAUAAUAAUAAUAAUAAUAAUAACAACAACAACAACACUAGUAGUAAUAGUAGUAGUAGAUGGUCAGAUGCUUCAAAAAGAAAACAAAAAGCAAAAUCAAUAUACACAUCAUACACUACUAAAAAAAGUGUAAAAACCGACCACAAAAUGUGGUCGGAAAACACCGACCACUUGUGGUCGGUUUUUUAAUAUUUUUAAAAAAAUAUUUGUAUUUUAAAAAGCGACCACAUGUAAUCACUUUUUUAUUAUAAAAGAUCAAAGUAAAUAUUCCAAUUAUUUUUAUAUUAAUUAUUAUAAAAUUUAAAAAUUAAAAAAUCGACCACAAGUGGUCUUUUUACUGAAAAAAUUAAUUUAAAAAUAUUUUAAUAAACCAACUACGAGUAGUCAGAUUAAUAAAAUUCUUUUUUAAUUAUUUUUUAAAGAAACCGACCACUUGUGGUCAGUUUUUUUAUUUAUUUAAAAAAGAAAAUAUUUUUAAAAAAAUUACUACUUCUGGUCAGUUUUUAUUUAAAUAAAAAGAAAUUAAUUUUAAGUGGUCAAUUUUUACUGAAAUUAGAAAAUAAAAUUAAAAUUAAAAAUUUAAUUAUAAAUAAAAAAAAUAGUAGUAACAAAAAAAAAUAGUAAUAAAAAAUUUAAAUAAUAGUAAUAAAAAAUUUUAAAACCAACCACAUGUGGUUGGUUCUGGAUUUAAAAAAAGAUAAAAAAUAAAUAAAUAAUUUUAUUAAAUAAUUAUAUAAUCUUAUAUUAACUUUAUGUAAUCUAAUUAUUAUUAUUAGUAAAAAUAAUAUAUUACAUUACAUAUAUAAUAUAAUAUACUAUACAUACGUUAAAUGACUUCAAACAUGCAUAAUCUUUAUAUAAUUAAUAUGUGUAGACGUAAUUGAAAGAUGUAAUUGAAAGAUGAAAACUGAUCUUUAUAGUACGUAUUUGAAAGGUGAUGUUUUAUAGUACGUAUUUACAGUCGUAAUAAUAAUGUAAUAUAUAACAGAUAAUUCAUCAGAAUAUAAUGAACGUGUUCUAUUAUAAGGUAAUAUACAUGUGAAUGUGAUAUAUAUAGUACGCAUUCAAGAGUUCAUAUAUAUAUAUAUAUAUAUAUAUAUAUAUAUAUAUCUUGUAGUGAGUGUUUGUACAGUCGUAAUAAUAAUGUAAUAUAUAACAGAUAAUUCAUUAGAAUAUAAUGAAUGUGUUCUAUUAUAAAGUAAUAUACUUGUGAAUUUGAUAUAUAUAGUACGAAUUCAAAAUUAUAUAUAUAUAUAUAAAUAUAUAUAUAUAUAUAUAUCUGUAUAUACAUAUAUAUAUAUAUAUAUGUAAGUUUGGAUAUUUGUAUAUGAUAGUUAUCGAUUGAUGAACGAUGUAGUCAAAACCUAGUUUAUUAAGCUAAUCAAAUAUAAUUAAUCGAUCACUUAUCUGAGUAUGUAUAGAAAGACAUAUCAUUAUUUUAUAAGAUAAUAAUAUAAUUGUGAAUGUAUCUGUGAUAUAUAUGGUACGUAUUUAGAACUUGAUAUUGUCGAUAGUGUGUAUAUGUGUGCAUAUGUAUAGGUAUAUAUAUAUACUAUAUACAUAUUAUACAGUAAAGGUAUAUUAAUGACAUAAGAUAAUAUAAUCUAUAAUUCUUCUGAGUAUUUGUGAAAUACGUUGUAUAUAUUAUGGGUAGUAAAAUCAUGUAUGUGAUGUUUACUGUACAUAUUUUAAAGCUGAUAGACAAUUGAAUAUAUGUUUAUAUACGUAUAUCUCGUGUAGUGACGUAUGUAGUAAUCAAAAGCUAGAUAACUGAAUCUAUAUAUCAAAAUAUAGUUUGACUAAUAGACAAUAGAAUAUAUGUUUAUAUACGUAUAUCUCGUGUAUUGACCUAUGUAGUAAGCAAAAGCUAAAUAACUGAAUAUAUAUAUAUCAAACUAUUGAAGAAGUAGAUAUAAUAUUUUCAGUCAACGUAGACACGCGUGUGCUUUAGAAGUUGGAAUAACGUAAGACUAGUAUUAUGAGGAAUAUGAGAGGGGGGAGGAAGCAGGGGAGGGGGAGACAUAACAUUGAACAACUGUGUCAAAUAACGUUACACAAUUAAUCGAUAAUUUAAUUGAUUAACACGUUGUAUUACGAGCGAGGGUUAUAUAUAUCAAUAAAUUUUACAAAUUACGAUAAUCUUUUGCAAAAUAUCUUUUAGUUAUGAUAUUUUAUAUAUAUAUAUAUAUAAAAUAUCGUAAUUCCCAAAAUGCAUUGAUAUUAUUAUAUUAUUGAGAAAAUAUACUAGUCCUGUUGAUGAGUUUAUAAAAUAACCAAUUAUCUAAUUUGUACAUAUUCGCAUUACGUUAAUAUAAUGAUAACAUAAAUAAUUAUAUGAUUUAAUCAUUGUAUUAAAAUUGUGCACAUGUGAUUGUUUUAUGAUAAUAGUUUGUAUAAAAGUAAUUCGAACACUUAUAUUUUACUUUAUGAUCAUUGUUGAAAAAUUUUAAUUAACUUAAUUAAUUUAUUUAUUUAUUAAUUUUUUUAACUAAAUUAUAAUUUUGAUUAACUAAGUAAUAAUUUUUUUUACUAAUUAAUGAAAAUUGACCACUUCAUUAAUUAAUAAAAAAACAUAAUAAAUUAAAUAGACCGACCCAACCCGGAGGGUUUUAGCCUUUUAAUAAAAUAUAAAAGAACAGAAAUUAAACCCCCAAAUCUCCAAACGCAAAACACGAUCCCCAAAUCUCCAAAUCCUCAAAUCCAAUCAACUCUUUGCCACCGAUUCCCGCCACUCCGGUAACUUUUAUUUUCUUGUUAGAUACUAGCUAAAGUAUGUAUUGUUGUUAUCUCAAUGUAUAUAUUUUUCAUAUUUGGUAGUAACUAAAAUUUCUUUGGUAGUAAUUUUACUUAGCUUAAAGUAUAUAUUUUUCAAGUUUGUUGUACUUAUUAUGCUUCGUUACAUGAUUUUUGUUAGUUGAAAGUCAAAAAAGUAAUGGAAAUUUAAGUUUAGUUAGUUAAAUAUUCAAUUAUAUUUAAAGAAAUUUAGUUUUAGCUAGUUAGUACUUAUCUGAAAAUAAAUUUUUGAAAGAAAAUUAUGUUUACUUUUGUGAAAUAAAUCGUUUUUCAUCUUCCCUCUAAUGUAAAUGUAUAAAGUUGUAACAAAGUAAGUUGAUAGGUUAAGAAAAGAAAAGUAAAGUUCAUAUUUGGUGUAUGUUAAGAACUGUAUAGUUUAGAUAUCAGAUUAGCAGUAUUAUUUGAUCAUUCAUUAUAUUAUUGAUUAAAAUUAUCAAUCUUAUUGAAGUAAAAGUUGGUUAUAAGAUUUGUUACUUUAUUGAAGGAUGAGAAUAUAUUUGUUACUUUGUGUAAUAAACAAGAUUUUUUAAUUCUACUUGCAUAAUUUGUUGCUUGGAAUUUGAUGUUACCGUUUGACAGAAAACGAAUUCAGUGGAAAGAUUACUUUGCUAUUUUUCCAUGACUACUUGUCUCUAGCACUUUAAUUUAGGCCAAGCAAAAGUAAGUUGACUUUUCUCUAAGUUGUUAUAUUGAAGUCUUGUUACUUUUCAUCUUGAAGUCUAGUGAAGCCGUGGAUGACCUUGUGUGAUUCACUAGUAUUGUUGUUAUCUUCUUGUUAUUGUUUAUAUUGAAGUCUAGUAAAGCCGUGUGUGGACUUGUGCUAUUCACUAGCAUUGUUUUCGACAUGUAAUUGUUGUUGUUGUUGCUUGUUUCUUGUAUGGUAGAUGACUUAGUUGGUUAAAAAUGGUUAAGUCGAGGGACUUUAAAGAGAAUGUUUUUUGUUUUGAAUGUAGUUUGGUAAGUGACUGAGUUGGUUGAAAACAGUUAAGUUUAGGGGCUUUAAAAGGGAUUUUUUUUAAUGUGAUUUUGUUUUGAGACUUGGUUGAAAAUGGUUAAGUAUAGGGACUUAGAAGGGGAUUUUAUUUUUGGAAUUUAGUUUUGUUUUGAGACUUAGUAGGUUGAAAAUGGUUAAGUUUAGGGCCUUAUAAAGGAAUUUUUUUGUUUUGAAUGUAAUUUGGUAAGUGACUUAGUUGGUUGAAAAUAGUUAAGUUUAGGGAAUUUAAAAGGAAUUUUUUUGUUUUGAAUGUAGUUUGGUAAGUGACUUAGUUGGUUGAAAAUGGUUAAGUGUAGGGACUUUGAAGGGGAUUUUAUGUUUUUAAUGUGGUUAUGGUAGGUGACUUCGUUGUUUAAAAAUGGUUAAGUCUAGGGACUUUAAAAGGGUUUUUUUUUUUGGAAUGUAGUUUUGUUUUUGAGACUUAGUUGGUUGAAAAUUGUUAAGUUUAGGGACUUUGAAGUGGAUUUUUUGGGGGGGAAUGUGGUUUUGUUUUGAGCCUUAGUUGGUUGAAAAUGGUUAAGUUUAGGGACUUUAAAAGGGAUUUUUUUGUUUUGAAUGUAGUUUGGUAAGUGGCUUAGUUGGUUGAAAAUGGUUAAGUUUAGGGCCUUUGAAGGGGAUUUUGUGUUCUGAAUGUGGUUAUGGUAGGUGACUUAGUUGGUUGAAAAUGGUUGAGUUUAGGGACUUUGAAGGGGAUUUUGU